rnacentral:rRNA from 1 species
GAAUAUUGGACAAUGGGCGCAAGCCUGAUCCAGCCAUGCCGCGUGUGUGAAGAAGGCCUUCGGGUUGUAAAGCACUUUUGUCCGGAAAGAAAUCCAAUCGAUUAAUACUCGGUUGGGAUGACGGUACCCAAAGAAUAAGCACCGGCUAACUUCGUGCCAGCAGCCGCGGUAAUACGAAGGGUGCAAGCGUUACUCGGAAUUACUGGGCGUAAAGCGUGCGUAGGUGGUUUGUUAAGUCUGAUGUGAAAGCCCUGGGCUCAACCUGGGAAUUGCAUUGGAUACUGGCAGUCUAGAGUGCGGUAGAGGGUAGCGGAAUUCCCGGUGUAGCAGUGAAAUGCGUAGAUAUCGGGAGGAACAUCCGUGGCGAAGGCGGCUACCUGGACCAGCACUGACACUGAGGCACGAAAGCGUGGGGAGCAAACAG